rnacentral:rRNA from 1 species
UACGUAGGUGGCAAGCGUUGUCCGGAAUUAUUGGGCGUAAAGCGCGCGCAGGCGAUUGUGCAAGUCUCCUGUGAAAGCCCUCGGCUUAACCGAGGAAGUGCAGAAGAUACUGCUCAAUUUGAGUUCCGGAGAGGAAGGCAGAAUUCCCGGUGUAGCGGUGAAAUGCGUAGAGAUCGGGAGGAAUACCAGUGGCGAAGGCGGCCUUCUGGACGGAUACUGACGCUGAGGCGCGAAAGCCAGGGGAGCAAACGGG